rnacentral:rRNA from 1 species
UAACGAGGAUUCCCCUAGUAACUGCGAGUGAAGCGGGAAGAGCUCAAAUUUGUAAUCUGGCGGUCUCUGGCCGUCCGAGUUGUAAUCUGUAGAGGCGUUGUCUGCGUCGGCCCGUGUUCAAGUCUCCUGGAAUGGAGCGUCAUAGAGGGUGAGAAUCCCGUCCAUGGCACGGACCACCGAUGCUCUGUGAAGGCGCCCUCGAAGAGUCGCGUUGUUUGGGAAUGCAGCGCAAAAUGGGUGGUAAAUUCCAUCUAAGGCUAAAUAUUGGCGAGAGACCGAUAGCGAACAAGUACCGUGAGGGAAAGAUGAAAAGCACUUUGAAAAGAGAGUUAAACAGUACGUGAAAUUGUUGAAAGGGAAACGCUUGAAGUCAGUCGCGUCCUGAGGCACUCAGCCUUGCUUUGGCUUGGUGUAUUUGCCUCGGGAUGGGUCAACAUCAAUUUUGGCUGGUGGAUAAGGGUGUGGGGAAUGUAGCGUCAUUUCGGUGACGUGUUAUAGCCUCUCGUCGAAUUACACGAGCUGGGAUUGAGGACGGCAGCACGCCCUUGUGGUCGGAGGUUCGCCUCACGUAAGGUGCUUAGGAUGGUUGGCAUAAUGGCUUUAAGCGACCCGUCUUGAAACACGGACCAAGGAGUCUAACAUGCUUGCGAGUGUUUGGGUGGAAAACCCUUGCGCGUAAUGAAAGUGAAAGUUGGGAGCCUUCGUGAAGGAGGUGCACUGACGCCCGGUCCUGACGUUCUCUGAUGGUGCUGCGGUAGAGCAGGUAUGUUAGGACCCGAAAGAUGGUGAACUAUGCCUGAAUAGGGCGAAGCCAGAGGAAACUCUGGUGGAGGCUCGUAGCGAUUCUGACGUGCAAAUCGAUCGUCGAAUUUGGG